GUGGAGAGGUGAUCUGGCCCCACCGCAGCCUAAAGAGCUGGGUGGUGGGUCAAGGAGGCCAGGGCUGGGUGCUGACAAUACGGGCUCCCCUGCCAAGCGGCCAACACUUUCCUGUCGCUGCAGCCACAGGAUGCAGGCAGAGCAGGUGGCCUGGCGGAGGGAGCGCUUUGUCAGGAUGAAGAAGUCUGACCACAGGGUCAGGUGUGAGGCCUGUCCUCAAAGCUUCCUCAGUCCAGGUGACCUCUCCUGGCCGCCUCCUGCUGGGCUCUCCGCAUCACCAGGAUGUUUUCAACACGAGACCCCUGGAGCUCCAGGAAGCCGGACGCCAGCCCCGCCUGACACCCGCCCACAGACAGAUUCUUCUGGAGAUGGAGGUGCCUGAGGGGUGCUCGGCAGUUGGGAAAAUGUAGAAGUGGGAGGUGGCAGCACUGUUCACCUGAAGGAUCCAAGCUGCCUGUUUUUGGUUUUAUCAUUUACUGCAUCUUUUGGGGGAGAAGUUUUCGGUUUUCAGAAAAGUGAGAGGAAAACAGCACACACUGCUUUGGGGUGCUCAGAGCUCCCCAUUAUUAACACUUCUCCUUAACUGUGGCACACUUGACCGCCAGUACUGACACGACGCAGUUAAUUAAAGAGCACUGCCUGCUCUGGUCACUCCACAGAUUUGGACAAAUGCGGAAAGACGUGCAUCGGCCACAGUACGUCCCCCACCGCGUCCCUCCCGCCCUGGCCGACCCUGACCUUGCCACUCCCGCCACAGCUGGCCCCUUUCCACUGUCAGUGUUGGACUCACCCAGUGCACAGCCUUUUCAAACAGGCCUCACGUGCAUUUCCAUGUCUCUUCAUGGCCAACAGCGCAUUCCCUCUUCAUGAUGAGUACGAGUCUACAGUCUGGAUGGAUAAGUUGUUUAUCCACCACCCGCUGAAGGGCAGCUUCUGAGUUUUGGCAAUUAUGAACAAAGCUGCUGGAAACAUCCAUGUGCAGAGUUCUGUGUGGUGAUGUUUUCAAUUAACUGGUAACUACCAAGGAGCAUGAGUGUUGGUUUUAGAUAGUUAAGAGUUUUAUACAAAAAAUUUUUUUGGGACUUUUGUAAAAAACUGUCUUCCAGAGUGGCUGUACCAUUUUAAAUUCCCACCACCAACAGAUGAGAGUAUCCACUGCUCCACACCCUGGCUGUUGUCACUGUUUUGGAUUUUAGCUAUUCUAACAGACAUAUGGUGACAUCUUAUUACUGAUUUAACUUACAUUUCCCAAAAGACACAUGAUGGGAGGCACCUUUUCAUGUGAUUAUUUUCCUUGUGUAUAUCUUCAGUGAUGAGUCUGUUCUUUUUUUUGGCCCA